CGAACACGCACGUUAUUGGAGGAUAGAGGAUUGAGUAAGAGAGCCCAAAAAUUUGAUUGGAGGAGCCGACUCCGGAUGUGCUUGACUGAACACUGAUUGGAGAACAAGGGGUCAGGAAGAGCAGUUCCGCACGAGGAUUGGGCGGUGGCGUGUCCCAUGGAAACGGAAUCCAGAACUGCAGCCAGGGUUUUUCACGGGGGCGGAGCCGGCUCUUCCCCAGGCGCCUGCGCCUAACCGGUUCCCCGGCGCCAUUUUGUCCCGGCAGCAGCAGCCCGCAGCUCUAUCCCAUUUUCUGUGUCUGGAGGGAAGGACGCGGACUCUCUCGGAGUUGUGCUGAAGACAACAGACACCUCCAUGACAACCCAAAGUAUCACAGAGGAAAUGAAAAGCUGUGGACUCAUUCAAAGUUAAUUAAGAUUAGGUAUGACCAUGGAAGACUUGUGUAUGACCAUGGAAGACUUCUAGAGAAUCUUGACUGGUGAUGUGGAAAAAGAGACCCAGAAGAACAAAAAAACAGGUGACUGUAAUGCUGGUCCCCCUGUGCAGGAACAGCUCAGGAGACUGUCGGAGACAUGAGUGUCCUUGUAGAAGCCAGCAGUCUUGUUGGCUGUCAGGUCCUCAUGACUUAGUAUUAUUACAUGUCAUCCUUUCAUGUGGCAUGAAUGAGGAUUUAUAAAGCCCUAUUACGGUUUGGUUAUGCAGUCCAAACAGACUUACAAAGAUUUACUGAUUAAUUUUACUGCUCAAGCAUAGAGCAGAGACUCCUCAUUAGCUAAUUUGUGCAUACUACACUUUCCGUACACGUGUUACUGCAAAAAUGUCCCUACAGUGUUACCAGAGCUGGGGCAGGAAGUAAGGGUGGAAUUCCUGAGCUCACUGACACUGAUGCUGAAGGAAGCAGGAGGUGGGCGGAGCUGGCAGUGGUGAGAGCCACGUGGAUACAUGGGAUGGUGGAGGAGUCAGGAAAAGUUAGUAGCUAGCUGAGACUGUCCUAGCAAAAGACCAACAGCUUUAUUUUCUUCAAAAUUUAAUAAUAAACUGUAGAAAUAAACUAUUUUGAAAG
ensembl:antisense 3110056K07Rik RIKEN cDNA 3110056K07 gene